UGUAUAAUGGGGAAAAAUAGGAUAAAAUAGGUAGAGAGAGAAAGGUUAGGACCUGAGGUCCCUGGGUGGGGAAAAACUCGUAUUUUGGAACAAUGCAGGGAGCAUCUGACCACAGCAAACCCCCACGGGCGCGGAAGUCUAGAGGAGCAGAUGGUUAGAGGCAAAGGUAUCAUGGUGCAGAUGGGGCCAAGGUGAGGCAGCAUGAAAGAAUCAUAAAAGGUGGACUUCAGAAUCAGAAUAAAUGUGUCAGAAAGCCAACAAGAGCCUUCAUUCAUUUGGCAGUCCCUGGGCCAGUCACCUAGCUUCUACAAGUCUCAUCUGAAAAAUAAAAAGGCUUAAUUAUAUUUUUCUCAGAGGGAUACUGUGAGAAUUGCGUGAGAUAACAUAGAUGAACAUGCUUCAUAUGCUCUGGUUAUUAGUAGUAAUGGGUCAUGUUUGGAUAGCAGAGAAGUGUAAUGACAGUCCAGCCAGAGAAACAAUGUGGAUAAAUAAAAAGAUCUGGCUUAUUUGAGUUACAGAGAAGAAAACAUUUCAUGCAGACUAGUGAAUACAGUUCACCAAACAGCAUAUUGGAAUGAAUAGUACAUGCUUCCUAUGGUUGGAAAGAAUAGGCUAAUCAUGGAGACAGACAGGUGAGGGUCAUGGAGGAAUUUAUGUUAGGGAGCAUGAAAGAAAUAGGCUUGGAAAUGGUGUCUAGACCCCCAAAGGAAUGGUUCCCAAUUAACAUGCAACAGAAUUGACGAAAUCAGUAAAAAGAACCCAGUGGAAGUUUUUGCAGGAGAGUGAUGAAAUCAAACUCUGUUUUCUCAUG